UGGUCUAUUGUAGGAUUCCUAGCUGGUCUAUUGUAGGAUCCCUAGCUGGUCUAUUGUAGGAUCCCUAGCAGACCUAUUGUAGGAUCCCUAGCAGACCUAUUGUAGGAUCCCUAGCUGGUCUAUUGUAGGAUACCUAGCUGGUCUAUUGUAGGAUCCCUAGCUGGUCUAUUGUAGGAUCCCUAGCUGGUCUAUUGUAGGAUCCCUAGCUGGUCUAUUGUAGGAUCCCUAGCAGACCUAUUGUAGGAUCCCUAGCUGGUCUAUUGUAGGAUACCUAGCUGGUCUAUUGUAGGAUCCCUAGCAGACCUAUUGUAGGAUCCCUAGCAGACCUAUUGUAGGAUCCCUAGCUGGUCUAUUGUAGGAUACCUAGCUGGUCUAUUGUAGGAUCCCUAGCAGACCUAUUGUAGGAUCCCUAGCAGACCUAUUGUAGGAUCCUUAGCUGGUCUAUUGUAGGAUCCCUAGCUGGUCUAUUGUAGGAUCCCUAGCUGGUCUAUUGUAGGAUCCCUAGCUGGUCUAUUGUAGGAUCCCUAGCAGACCUAUUGUAGGAUCCCUAGCUGGUCUGUUGUAGGAUCCCUAGCUGGUCUAUAGUAGGUUCUGGCCUUUCUAGGGAGUUUUUACUAGUCACCGUGCUUCUACACCUGCAUUGGUUGCUGUUUGAGGUUUAAGGCUGGGUUUCUGUACAGCACUUUGUGACAUCAGCUGAUGUAAGAAGAGCUUUAUAAAUACAUUUGAUUGAUAACACAAUAGUCGUGAUAGAGCAUGAUUAAGACAGGCCAAACAAUAAUGAACUGAUGUACCACUGUCUGAUAGGUUCAGAUACAUCAUGUGACAACAACAGAAUGUGUGGUUGGUUGGAAACAGGAAGGAUAUGUAACUAAAGUUCAGUCAAGCUCAAGUCCAACUGAAAGUUAAAUUUGCAGGCUGCUGGGUUUCGCAACCCCCUCUCUCAAGCACAAAUCCUGGGGUUAUGAAUGGUUGAAAAUUCUGCUACUCCAAAAUUCCCUAACGUUAGAAAACUUGAAAGACUCAAUACCAAAAUGUGUCUAUACCGUACUUUCAAAUAAAUAUUUUGUGAAAUAAUGUGGUCUGUGUGAAUGACAGUGCAGGUAAUCUUCUUCAGUGAAAUCAACCCGAACCUUAACUCAAUGCAAGAGCAAAUCUAGAGAUCAGGGCCCUUAUUUAUCAAGCAUGUCAGAAAUACUGAUCUGGGAUCAAGUCAUCCCUGCCAACAUGACCUUAUUCAUAAUGAUCAAAAAGGAUAAACAGAUCCUAGAUCAGCACUCCUAAACUGAAACAUUUGAUAAAUAUGGGCCCUCACUUGAGUCUGCUGAUGCAGCACUUUCUUUAGGUUUUACAAGUCUAAAUAUUCUACAGAAACUACAGAGACCAUGUGACUUCUUAAAGUCCUCUACAGUUUCUUGUAAACCACAUGAUCUUGGUUGACCUACAGUAGGCGCUACAACAGGCUAGCUACCCAGUUAGCAACAAGCACUCAGCAGGCAGGUGCCUCUACAACAGGCUAGCUACCCAGUUAGCAACAAGCAGUCAGCAGGCAGGUGCCUCUACAACAGGCUAGCUACCCAGAUAGCAACAAACACUCAGCAGGCAGGUGCCUCUACAACAGGCUAGCUACCCAGUUAGCAACAAGCACUCAGCAGGCAGGUGCCUCUACAACAGGCUAGCUACCCAGAUAGCAACAAGCAGUCAGCAGGCAGGUGGCUCUACAACAGGCUAGCUACCCAGUUAGCAACAAGCACUCAGCAGGCAGGUGCCUCUACAACAGGCUAGCUACCCAGUUAGCAACAAGCACUCAGCAGGCAGGUGCCUCUACAACAGGCUAGCUACCCAGAUAGCAACAAGCAGUCAGCAGGCAGGUGGCUCUACAACAGGCUAGCUACCCAGUUAGCAACAAGCACUCAGCAGGUAGGUGGCGCUACAACAGGCUAGCUACCUAGUUAGCAACAAGCACUCAGCAGGCAGGUGGCGCUACAACAGGCUUGCUACCUCGUUAGCAACAAGCACUCAGCAGGCAGGUGGCUCUACAACAGGCUAGCUACCUAGUUAGCAACAAGCACUCAGCAGGCAGGUGGCACUACAACAGGCUUGCUACCUCGUUAGCAACAAGCACUCAGCAGGCAGGUGGCUCUACAACAGGCUAGCUACCUAGUUAGCAACAAGCACUCAGCAGGCAGGUGGCACUACAACAGGCUAGCUACCUAGUUAGCAACAAGCACUCAGCAGGCAGGGGCCUCUACAACAGGCUAGCUACCUAGUUAGCAACAAGCACUCAGCAGGCAGGUGCCUCUACAACAGGCUAGCUACCCAGUUAGCAACAAGCACUCAGCAGGCAGGUGGCUCUCCAACAUGUUUUGGAUGGUGAGACAGCAGACUUGCUCACCCUACUGGCACGAUGCCCACUUUAAGAUGCAAAUCCUCCUGCCAGAUACAAAUCAACCCACCACAGAUGCAAAUCACUUCAUAAGUGCGGAACUCUGCUUACCCG